rnacentral:rRNA from 1 species
CGCACGCGCGCUACACUGACAGAGCCAACGAGUUCAUCACCUUGGCCGAAAGGUCUGGGUAAUCUUGUUAAACUCUGUCGUGCUGGGGAUAGAGCAUUGCAAUUAUUGCUCUUCAACGAGGAAUGCCUAGUAAGCGCAUGUCAUCAGCAUGCGCUGAUUACGU